rnacentral:rRNA from 1 species
UACGUAGGGAGCAAGCGUUGUUCGGAUUUACUGGGCGUAAAGGGCUCGUAGGCGGCCAACUAAGUCCGACGUGAAAUCCCAAAGCUUAACUUUGGAACUGCGUCGGAUACUGGAUGGCUUGAAUUCGGGAGAGGGAUGCAGAAUUCCAGGUGUAGCGGUGAAAUGCGUAGAUAUCUGGAGGAAUACCGGUGGCGAAGGCGGCAUCCUGGACCGACAUUGACGCUGAGGAGCGAAAGCCAGGGGAGCAAACGGG